GUACUUACCUGGCAGGGGAAACACCAUGAUCAGGAAGGUGGUUUUCCCAGGUCAAGGCUCAUCCCUUGAGCUCCGGGUGUGCUGAUGCCUGCGAUUUCCCCAAAUGUGGGAAACUCGA
rnacentral:snRNA from 1 species